UGCUGCUAAUACAGAACCACUCUUGCUUUUUAAAGAUGUGUUUUGCAGUUUUGUUUUUUUUAAGAAGAAAUCCCGGUGAAAACUCUCCUCAGUAGAGUGAGCUCUUUCAGGGCAGGGACUGUCCUCCAUUGGGGAUGUUCCCUGGAGCUCCGAUCCUGAUGGAAUUUUAAGGACAAUCAAAGAGAGAUGUUUCAAGAUGCCAUGUACCAGGAGAAAUGGAUCAAUAGUAUUGGCUGUACUGGCUUUGUGUGUGGUAUAUCCAGAUCCCAGCGGUUUCCAAGAAGCAGCCUUUGAUGUUACCUCAUUCUAGGGCUCUUUGAAUAUCACUGCCUAAUGAAGGGGACCGUGCGGAAGAAGAACGGAGUGCAUUUUUGGUGGGGGAGGUUUUGACUCUAUUUUGACUGCAUGAAUGAGAUACGGUGUGAAGGUCAUCGUUAGAGCCAGAUGGUCAAGAAAGAAGGGGGUAAUGCGGGUGAAGACAGACUGAGAAGAGACAUAUCAGCGUCAGAAGAACCAUCAGUGUAUACUCAUGAUUAAGGAAGGGCCAAGAGUGAUGGCUCUGAAGGUGAAGGCAUCCCUAAAAACAACUGAUUAACAAUCCAGGACAGGAUGGCCUCUUGUAGAUGUUUGGAACAUCAACAUCAAAAGAUGACAGUAACCGGUCACAGAAUGACACAGCAAAAUCCAUAGAGGAAAGGAUUAUAAAAGCAGGGUGCUUUGCUAUGGGACUUUGUGUUUGUCUUGACACCAACUCCAGGAGAUCAUCGGAUCACAACCGACAAAGCCCGGCUCUCCCUCUGUGAUUGAUCUGGCUGAUCACUAGAUUGAUCCAGACUCUGGACUGGUAACUAUAACAUCGUUUG